UACGAGAGGCCCAAACGUUAUUCGGAUUUACUGGGCUUAAAGAGUUCGUAGGCGGCGCGGAAAGUCGGGUGUGAAAGCCCUCGGCUCAACCGAGGAAUUGCGCUCUAAACUACCGUGCUUGAGGAAGCUAGAGGUGAGCGGAACUGAUGGUGGAGCGGUGAAAUGCGUUGAUAUCAUCAGGAACACCGGAGGCGAAGGCGGCUCACUGGGGCUUUUCUGACGCUGAGGAACGAAAGCCAGGGGAGCGAACGGG
rnacentral:rRNA from 1 species